UUUGUGGCGGGGUGGGAAAGAAGAAGGAGAAAGAGUCCAACUCACUCAUGAGAGGGCGGGCGAGGCUGGGCGACACCUUCAGCUUCCCAGGCGCCGGCGAAGUUAAUUGCACUGAACUUCAAGUUGUCUUUUCUCCCAUCAGAAGUGGGCGUUUAAAGGAAGGAGCGUGAGGGGGGAGGAGGAGGAGGAGGAGGAGGUGGAGGGUGCUGUUCGUAGAAGCGGUGGGGGCUUUCCCCCCCCAGCACACGCACGGGAACCGAGUAGCCGGCCUCCCCUCUCUCCCUCCCCCUCUUUCAGCACUGCUUGGCAGGCGGCGACUGAAGAGAGAGGAGAGGAAGACGACGACGAGAAGGCGGCGCCCGCCCGCUUGCCUUCCACCCUUCCGCUGGAGACACCAGGGCAAACCAAGUGCCCAAAGCCGAGCUUCUCCUCUGCUCCUCUUCUCGGGCGCUCGGUCCAGUCAAUGGGAACUCGCCGGGGCUAGCGCGCUCUCUGUCCCUUUCCUUCGCUCUCUGUUUCUCUGUGUCCUUGUUUUGCUUUCUCUCUCUCACGGGCUCCUCCUGUCCUCUUCUCUUGGACGAAGCGCCGGAGCUGUGGCGGAGCACGGCAGCAGAGGCUCGGCCGGGCUGUCUGGACUUGCUGGCUCUCUCUCCCCCUUGCGGAGGAGGCUUGUCCGCCUGCGUCGGUGCAGAAACCGUGGAGGAGAAGCUGCUGCCGUCGCUGCCGCCAGUUCGGGUCGGCGUGAGGGGAAAAAGCUGCGCGCAGUUCCGACGAGGAGCAGCUGGCGAAGGGCUGUAGAAGCCGGACUGCAGGGCGGCGAGGUGUCCCUGGUCUAUAGGUUGCCUGUUGUUAUUACUCUUUAUUAUUCUUAUUUAGUUUCGUCUUCGUCCUGCUUCCUUUCCUCACUUCUCCUGGACCUGCUGUUUCUUCUCCCGUUUCUUCCUUGUUUUUUUUGUUUUGUUGUUGUUGUUUUGCGAAAGGAAAGGGUUUAUUUUAUUUUGUCUUUUGACUGCUUUAGGUUGGGAAGAGUGGCUGGUGCGUGUAGGCGCCCUAUUCUCUGCCGCCUCCCUCGCCGCCCCGCCGGGAAAGGAGGAAGUCAGAUGCUGAGUUCAUGA
ensembl:lncRNA